UGGAUAACAUAUGGCUUUCUUGGAUAAUU
rnacentral:piRNA from 1 species